rnacentral:misc_RNA from 1 species
GAUGAAGAACGCAGCGAAAUGCGAUAAGUAAUGCGAAUUGCAGAAUUCAGUGAAUCAUCGAAUCUUUGAACGCACAUUGCGCCCGCCAGUAUUCUGGCGGGCAUGCCUGUUCGAGCGUCAUUUCAACCCUCAGGCCCCCAGUGCCUGGUGUUGGGGAUCGGCCCAGCCUUCCUGUAAGGCCGCCGGCCCCGAAAUCUAGUGGCGGUCUCGCUGUAGUCCUCCUCUGCGUAGUAGCUCAACCUCGCAGUUGGAACGCGGCGGUGGCCAUGCCGUUAAACACCCCACUUCUGAAAGUUGACCUCGGAUCAGGUAGGAAUACCCGCUGAACUUAAGCAUAUCAAUAAGCGGAGGA